GAUGAACGCUAGCGGCAGGCCUAAUACAUGCAAGUCGAACGGGUUUGGGUCGCAAGACUCAAAUUAGUGGCGCACGGGUGCGUAACGCGUAUGCAACCUACCCAAAACAGGGGGAUAGCCUCCCGAAAGGGAGAUUAAUACCGCAUAAGACCCGGGGCUGGCAUCAGCUUCGGGUGAAAUUCACGGAGGUUUUGGAUGGGCAUGCGUCCGAUUAGCUAGUUGGCGGGGUAAGGGCCCACCAAGGCGACGAUCGGUAGGGGACCUGAGAGGGCGAUCCCCCACACUGAUACUGAGAUACGGACCAGACUCCUACGGGAGGCAGCAGUAGGGAAUUUUGGACAAUGGGCGCAAGCCUGAUCCAGCCAUGCCGCGUGUCUGAAGAAGGCCUUCGGGUUGUAAAGGACUUUUGUCCGGGAGCAAAUGCCUGGUGUUAAUAGCACUGGGAGCUGAGAGUACCGGAGGAAUAAGCACCGGCUAACUACGUGCCAGCAGCCGCCGUAAAAC
rnacentral:rRNA from 1 species